rnacentral:lncRNA from 1 species
GGUACAGAGACAGGCAGAUAGAUCAGUGGAACAGAAUUGAAGACCCAGAAAUGAACUCACACACCUAUGGUCACUUAAUCUUUGACAAUGGAGCCAAAACCAUCCAAUGGAAAAAGAUAGCAUUUUCAACAAAUGGUGCGGGCUCAACUGGAGGUCAGCAUGUAGAAGAAUGCAAAUCAAUCCAUUCUUAUCACCACGUGCAAAGCUUAAGUCCAAGUGGAUCAAGGACCUCCACAUCAAACCAGAUACACUAAACUAAUAGAAGAAAAAGUGGGGAAGAGUCUUGAACACAUGGGCACUGGAAAAAAUUUCCUGAACAAAACACUGGCUUAUGCUCUAAGAUGAAAAUUUGAAAAAUGGAACCUCAUAAAACUGUAAAGCUUCUAUAAAAGAAAA